AAGGGCACCACAAGAACGCGUGGAGCAUGUGGCUUAAUUUGACUCAACGCGGGGAAUCUUACCGGGUCCGGACACACUGAGGAUUGACAGGCGCAAGGAGCCUUGGCUCUGUAAAUUUGCUAGUCCUUUCAUGAUUGUGUGAUAGGUGGUGCAUGGCCGUUCUUAGUUCGUGGAAUAAUCUGUCUGCUUAAUUGCGUUUUUUCAAAUGUGCCUUGAUGCCCGUAUUGCCUUCUGCGUAUGUCAGGUGUCGGUUCACUUUCACGUGGGCUGGCCCUGAUGUGCCAGUUAGGUGGGUUGUCAGGGCCUUCUGAAACGAACGAGACCCCAACCCUUCUUUUUCAAUGUCAUACAACGAUUUGUUGUAAUUUUUUGUUUAUCAGCUUGCUGAUAAGCAUUCUACGACGUUGUUAACAGAAGGGGACUGUUGCGUUUUAACGUAAAGGAAGGUUGGGGCAAUAACAGGUCUGUGAUGCCCUUAGAUGUUCCGGGCUGCACACGUGCUACAAUGAUCUAUGCACUAAGCAUCUUUUAGUUCCGUAAUGUGCGUUCUCUUUUUUUGAGUUCGACACAUAUGCGGCAUGCCUACUUCGAGAGCUAGUAGGUAAUCACUUGGUAAUAUAGAUUUCCUUUGCAUUGUAGCAUCGGACCUACUUGUUAGGUUUCGGUGUUACUUGUUUUCGAAUUAUGACUUCUUAGUGGGGACAGACCAUUGUUAAUUGUUGGUCUCGCUUUAACUAGGAAUGCCUUGUACAGGUGGUUCAACAGACCGCCUGGAAUACGUCCCUGCCCUUUGUACACACCGCCCGUCA
rnacentral:rRNA from 1 species